AAUGAACGCUGGCGGCGCGCCUAAUACAUGCAAGUCGAGCGAGAAGACGUAGCAAUACGUUUGUAAAGCGGCGAACGGGUGAGGAAUACAUGGGUAACCUACCCUAGAGUGGGGAAUAACUAGCCGAAAGGUUAGCUAAUACCGCGUACGCUCCUUGGACUUCGGUUCAGGGAGGAAAGCGAUGCCGAGGGUAUCGCGCUCUUGGAUGGGCUCAUGUCCUAUCAGCUGUUGGUGAGGUAACGGCUCACCAAGGCUUCGACGGGUAGCUGGUCUGAGAGGACGAUCAGCCACACUGGCACUGCGACACGGGCCAGACUCCUACGGGAGGCAGCAGUAAGGAAUAUUGCGCAAUGGGCGAAAGCCUGACGCAGCGACGCCGCGUGGGGGAUGAAGGUCUUCGGAUUGUAAACCCCUUUCGACCCGGACGAAUGGCCCGCAAGGGCUUGACGGUACGGGUA
rnacentral:rRNA from 1 species